AUCCUACGGGAGGCAGCAGUGGGGAAUUUUCCGCAAUGGGCGAAGCCUGACGGAGCAAGACCGCGUGAGGGAGGAAGGCUCUUGGUUGUAAACCUCUUUUAUCAGGGAAGAACACAAUGACGGUACCUGAAGAAUCAGCAUCGGCUAACUCCGUGCCAGCAGCCGCGGUAAUACGGAGGAUGCAAGCGUUAUCCGGAAUUAUUGGGCGUAAAGCGUCCGCAGUGGCUAAUCAAGUCUGCUGUCAAAGGCUGGGGCUUAACCCCGGAAAGGCAGUGGAAACUGAGAAGCUAGAGUGCAGUAGGGGUAGAGGGAAUUCCGGUGUAGCGGUGAAAUGCGUAGAGAUCGGGAAGAACAUCGGUGGCGAAAGCGCUCUACUGGACUGCAACUGACACUCAGGGACGAAAGCUAGGGGAGCGAAUGGGAUUAGAUACCCCAGUAGUCCUAGCCGUAAACGAUGGAUACUAGGUGUGGCUUGUAUCGACCCGAGCCGUGCCGCCGCCUGGGGAGUACGCUAGCUAACGCGUUAAGUAUC
rnacentral:rRNA from 1 species